UACGGGGGGGGCAAGCGUUGUUCGGAAUUACUGGGCGUAAAGGGCGCGUAGGCGGCCCGGUAAGUAGGGGGUGAAAUCUUGCGGCUUAACCGCAAGGCUGCCUUCUAAACUGCCAGGCUCGAGCACAGUAGAGGCAGGUGGAAUUCCCGGUGUAGCGGUGGAAUGCGUAGAGAUCGGGAAGAACAUCGGUGACGAAGGCGGCCUGCUGGGCUGUUGCUGACGCUGAGGCGCGACAGCGUGGGGAGCAAACAGG
rnacentral:rRNA from 1 species